GACGAACGCUGGCGGCGUGCUUAACACAUGCAAGUCGAACGGAAAGGCCCUGCUUUGGUGGGGUGCUCGGGUGGCGAACGGGGGAGUAACACGUUAGUAACCUGCCCUUGACUUUGGGAUAACUUCAGGAAACUGGGGCUAAUACCGGAUAGGAGCUCCUGCUGCAUGGUGGGGGUUGGAUAGUUUCGGCGGUUGGGGAUGGACUCGCGGCUUAUCAGCUUGUUGGUGGGGUAGUGGCUUACCAAGGCUUUGACGGGUAGCCGGCCUGAGAGGGUGACCGGCCACAUUGGGACUGAGAUACGGCCCAGACUCCUACGGGAGGCAGCAGUGGGGAAUAUUGCACAAUGGGCGGAAGCCUGAUGCAGCAACGCCGCGUGCGGGAUGACGGCCUUCGGGUUGUAAACCGCUUUCGCCUGUGACGAAGCGUGAGUGACGGUAAUGGGUAAAGAAGCACCGGCUAACUACGUG
rnacentral:rRNA from 1 species